AUUGAACGCUGGCGGCAGGCUUAACACAUGCAAGUCGAGCGGGGAAGGGUAGCUUGCUACCUAACCUAGCGGCGGACGGGUGAGUAAUGCUUAGGAAUCUGCCAUUUAGUGGGGGACAACAUUCCGAAAGGAAUGCUAAUACCGCAUACGUCCUACGGGAGAAAGCAGGGGAUCUUCGGACCUUGCGCUAAAUGAUGAGCCUAAGUCGGAUUAGCUAGUUGGUGGGGUAAAGGCCUACCAAGGCGACGAUCUGUAGCGGGUCUGAGAGGAUGAUCCGCCACACUGGGACUGAGACACGGCCCAGACUCCUACGGGAGGCAGCAGUGGGGAAUAUUGGACAAUGGGCGGAAGUCUGAUCCAGCCAUGCCGCGUGUGUGAAGAAGGCCUUAUGGUUGUAAAGCACUUUAAGCGAGGAGGAGGCUACUUAGAUUAAUACUCUAGGAUAGUGGACGUUACUCGCAGAAGAAGCCCCGGCUAACUCCGUGCCAGCCGCCGCCGUAAGAC
rnacentral:rRNA from 1 species